UCAGGACGAACGCUGGCGGCGUGCUUAACACAUGCAAGUCGAACGGAAAGGCCCCCUUGUGGGGUACUCGAGUGGCGAACGGGUGAGUAACACGUGAGUAACCUACCCUUGACUUUGGGAUAACUUCAGGAAACUGGGGCUAAUACCGGAUAGGAGCUCCUGCUGCAUGGUGGGGGUUGGAAAGUUUCGGCGGUUGGGGAUGGACUCGCGGCUUAUCAGCUUGUUGGUGGGGUAGUGGCUCACCAAGGCUUUGACGGGUAGCCGGCCUGAGAGGGUGACCGGCCACAUUGGGACUGAGAUACGGCCCAGACUCCUACGGGAGGCAGCAGUGGGGAAUAUUGCACAAUGGGCGGAAGCCUGAUGCAGCAACGCCGCGUGCGGGAUGACGGCCUUCGGGUUGUAAACCGCUUUCGCCUGUGACGAAGCGUGAGUGACGGUAAUGGGUAAAGAAGCACCGGCUAACUACGUG
rnacentral:rRNA from 1 species